CAGCAGCCGCCGCGGUAAUACGGAGGGGGCUAGCGUUGUUCGGAAUUACUGGGCGUAAAGCGCACGUAGGCGGCUUGGUAAGUUAGAGGUGAAAGCCCAGGGCUCAACCCUGGAAUGCCGGUGGAAACUGUCGAGCUAGAGUCCGGAAGAGGCGAGUGGAAUUCCUGGUGUAGCGGUGAAAUGCGCAGAUAUCAGGAGGAACACCAAUGGCGAAGGCAGCUCGCUGGGACGGUACUGACGCUGAGACGCGAAAGCGUGGGGAGCAAACAGGAUUAGAGACCCCCGUAGUCCCUGUCUCUUAUAC
rnacentral:rRNA from 1 species